UCACAGUUGAGAUUUUUUAUGUGUGCACCGGUACAGUUUUGCAGGGAAGCGAAAGUUGCUGGAAUUUUGUCUUCUUCUAAAAACAAGUGUCUGAUACAUUCUGUCUUUGGAAGCUGUAGAAAUAACAAGAAAGAUGCUGACAUAGUGUUUUGGUAGGGAAAAGUUUGAGUAUGUACAGUUGUUUGACCUUUCUUUCCCUGUGGCAGUCCAAGAAGAUGUUACCAUUAUGAAAAAUGCAGGAGGUAUUCUGCUUCUGUAUGUUAAACAAAGGUCUCAAAGCAUUUAUAUGCUGUAUGACUACAUGCUUGCUUCUGAAAUAAUUGUAAAAGACAGCUAUAAGACUGACAUUCCUGACAAGAUGUGAACCUUCUGGACUUUAUGUCAGCCUGGCGUAAACAUUUCUUUCCUGUAGCUUUGUGUAUCCAUCAAUUUACUAUGUACAUAUCUCCAUUCAAAAUAAUGCUAAUAUAUAUGGUUUAGUAAUAAAUGUGUGAUAGCUUUGUAAUGUCAACAUUUCAAAAAUAGAAUGAACAUGUAUUUUGAUAAUAAAUAUUGAAAUACAAAUUUCAGUAUAUUGUAUCUGUCAGCAAAAACAUGAAGUGCAUUUGUAUCUUUGUAUUGAGAUAAUUAAAACAAUUAUAUUCAAAUGCUUUGACACUGAUUUUAUGUUGAUUUCCUAGAAUGUGUAUGAAUUAAUGUUUUACAAUAUUUCAGAACUUGAAGACAAUGGUUAGUGCAGAAGGGACAUAAAAGUUAUGAUAAAAGUAACAGAUAUAAAUAAGAAGUGCUACAAGUGUGUUGUCAUGUGAAAUGGACUUUACCCCAACUAUGCUGCAUGAUGUAUAUUCAAGUGCGAGACAGCCAUGCACCAGCUGUAAACUGAGAUGGACCCAUAUAAUAAAUAUGUUGACUUUUCUAUGUAUUAUCAUCUGUACAGAAUGUGUUCAUGACAAGACUGUAUACAUAUAUUGUUAAAUUAUUUUUUAUUUCCAUUAUUGCAUGCAUGUAAGAAGCAAGCAUUUAACAAUUGCAUUCAUAGAAAUGUUAAAAUGUGACCAAUCUAAUUUAAAAAUACCCAUUUAAUUGGACUUUUUAAGUUUCAUAGUAUUUGUGGUGGAGAAUGACCCAGUCAUUCAGCAACUUAUACUGUCUGUGUGUCAUUUCUUGUAUGUUAUAGUUUUCUUAAUAAUACAUUAAAUGUCAAAGUUAUGGUAAGAUAAACUCAUUCAUCACUUGUAGAUUAAUGUUAAACAGUUCAACAUUUUACCACAAGUUAACUAAUAUUCUAUUUAACCUGAGUUGUCACAUAUUUUCAUACAAACAUUUGUACAAUACAGUCUAAUCUAAUCUACAAAUGAAGUUCCACAAUUUUUCAGUUAUAUUUUAUGUUGAUAUUUUAUGUUGUUUUCAUGUCUCAACAUAUAAUUACUAACAUCAAAGAAACUUAAGUAUUUUACAAUUUGGUUGGUAUAAAUGGUUGUUUUGUUUAUAUGUUUUAUUUUUUUCCAUCCAGGAGAAUAAAGAAAUAUACAUUUCAAAAUAUCUCAUCAUUCCAGAUAAGUACACUACAUAAUCAAGAUAAAAGAAAUAAGAACAAAAUAUGUUGGUGGAAUUUUAUUUUCAAAAAUUUGAUAUACAGUCUUUGUAGUAUUUACUUCUUUAGAUAUGUUGGACUGAAAUAGGAAUAACAACAUACUUUAAAUUUUGGUAGUCAUAAGUUAAUAUGGGAAUUAUUAACUUAACUUAACUUAAAAAGAUUUUAUCUCACUGUUAUGCCAUCUGAGCUUUAAUAUUUUUCAACAUUGUCAUUGACAACAAGGUUGUUUGAUGUCCUUUUACUGUUAAGUUGUUUCUGUAUUUGUUUACAUUCCAUGUCUGAAUGAAAUGAAGAAACAGACUUUAAUGAGGGUAUCCCGGGAAAAUACCUAAGUUUAUUUUUAUAUCAGCAAAUCUGAUGAGAUAGUCAUUCAGGAGUUGUCUAUCCUAUUUCCAAAAAUGCUAUGGGGACAUGAUAAAAGAAAAUAUAUUAAUUAUACAUGUACAUCUUUGAAAAGCUCAGAUCGCAAACUUCCUAAUGGUGUGUGUCUUUUGAAAAUCAAAUGAGAAACUAUGACGCACUGGCAGUUUAAAAAUAGCAUUUUCUAUAGAUUUGUAGCAUAAAGUAACGACUGUUAACUGUUAAAUGUUAAAGGAGCAUACCGAGCUAUAACCGAGUGCAAUUAAAUGUCUUCAGAAACCAUGUGUAAAUGCAUUUUUGAAUCAAAGAAACAUCAAUUAUCCCCAAGCAGUGUACUUAAAGAACAAAACACAUACGGUCCAAAGCAGCAAGCGAAAACCACGCUAUUUUACCUCUUCUUUCUUGAUUAUUUUACGCGCACCUGUAUGUGUUCAUAAGACAACAUCAACUCUCAAAAUUUCAGCUAAACAUUCCAGCAAAAAUAAGUUUUACUAUUUAUCAAGUUGUUGUUGUACAAUUUUAGGUGGAUAGCUAUUUAUUAUAGACAGACGCUAUAUAGGUGAUUAUUCGCCCAAAAAUGAAUAAUUUGAUAUGCAUGAAUACUCUUCUUGAAAAUUGUAAUAAGUUCUUCUUUUACGUAUGUCUAGCCCAUAACAUACGGUUACAAAAUUUUGAUAUGCUAGAUGUAAGGUAUGCCUCUUUAAUUUGAAUAAAAAUGACAUGGAUCUAAUAAUUCUAUUAUCUUUAUUCUCUUUGCGAAUAUUUGUAUUUUUAAUUAAACAGACACUAUUUCUCACUGGUAUCAUUAUAGCAAUUUUUGAUUAAGCAGAUGAGGGGGUGGGGGUUGCCUUGCCCAGCCCGUCAGUGUGUGUUUCAAGACACUUGAUGGGUUUAGUCAGAGCAGAAUUUCUAGUAUAUAAUGUAACAUUGAUGCAAAUAGUUUGAACGUUAUACUGUUUCACGGAUGUGACUUUAACUGUCACAGCGGAGUCGUUUAUUGCACAUCAAAUGUGCGGGUUUCAACCUUUCUGUGCUGUUAGCGCUUUGAUUUUUAACUGGUGUAUACUAGAGUUGCAACACUGGUUACAUGAAUUAAAAGUACAAUGCACCAAAACGUUUUACACAGACCUUUCACAGCUAUAAAUUCAACUAUUUUCUACCAUAUUUAUGACAUAUCUGCCUAUUACUACAGGCAACCACAAGUUUGAAGUUGAUUUUAUGACGGUCUUAGAGUUAUUUUCCAUCUAAAACAUUUUUGUUACAUUAAAAUGAUAUCCAGAAGGAUAAUAAUGUUGCUAGUUUGCCAUGCAAUUUAUUCUUGGUAUGGUUUACCUUUCCUAUGGGGAACUCACAUUUUAUUCUAAGUUAUCAGGAACAUUUUAAAAGGCAACGACUUCCGGUGUGGCAAACGUAAAGAACCAACCUCUGUGCAGGAAUAUUGUCAAAUAAUUAUCAUUGUCUCUAAGCUCAUGACGAUGGUAAGACCAUGUGAUCCUAAAAUGGCAACACACUUGGCACAGGCUGUUAAACCAAAUGCUUACCAUAAUGUACAGGCAAAUCCACAUUUAUGUCACAAUUUUUAAGACAGUAAAGUAUUCAAUGUGUCUGUAUUUUGCAAAAUGCGAUUUGUCAAAUUUUCUGAUUACGUCAAAUAAUUUCACUGUUUACAUUUAGGCAUGUGCUCGUCUCUACACUAGAAAAAGAAGUAUUAUAAUUCACUGCAUUAAUUUUUAAUGUUUGCUUGUUUUUCAAGCAAAAUGUAUAUUUAACUUUUGUGAUACAAAUAAAUUUAAAAAAAAAAAAAGAAA